UACGUAGGGUGCGAGCGUUGUCCGGAAUUAUUGGGCGUAAAGAGCUCGUAGGCGGUGUGUCGCGUCGGCCGUGAAAACCUGGGGCUUAACUCUGGGCGUGCGGUCGAUACGGGGCAUCACUAGAGUUCGGCAGGGGAGACUGGAAUUCCUGGUGUAGCGGUGAAAUGCGCAGAUAUCAGGAGGGAACACCGGUGGCGAAGGGCGGGGUCUCUGGGGCCCGAUACUGACG
rnacentral:rRNA from 1 species